rnacentral:misc_RNA from 1 species
AAUAAUAAUAAUAAUAAUAAAAUGUGUGGUCUAUAUAAAAAUGCAAAUUGUUUUUUUCUUUUUCUUUUUUUGACAUGGUAAACUAUUAAUUUGUUUCAUCAUUAUUAAAUCUGACAUACGCAAGUCAUUUAAUUAAUAGUUUACAUAUUUAACUUGCUUUUAAUGCUUUUAAUUCUCUAAUUGAUCUUCUACUGUUAAUUUACUAAUUUAUCUCACUCUUCCUUAGAUUUUUAAGGUUUUGUGAAUAAAUUUGUUAAUUUUAUGACAUGAUACUCAUUUUUUAUGCAUGUUAUUUUAUUACAUAAAAAUAGGAUUAAGAAUUUUUUUUUUUUUUAAUUAUGAUUUGGCCACUCAAAAUUUUUAAUUCUAAAUUCAUCCUGAUAGUAGAUACAAGUAUUUGUGACAAAAUUAUUUAUAUCAAGUGAUUGUAUAUUAUGUGAUUGUGUUACCAGUUUUAUCAAAUGUCUUCUUAGCAUCUUAAGCAGACACCGUGCCUUGUUUUUGCUCGAUAAUGCAAUGAGCGACUGGUGUCCUGUAUGAAAAGUACUUCAUAUGGCUCUUUGUUUUUCAUGUAAACUGACUAGCCAUAAACUAACUAGCCGAUAAAGAUGACAAUUACAAUCAUGUUUCUUGACAUUACCUAUAAUAUAUUCUAGUGAGCGCAUGGCAUAUAUUACUCAUGCAUUCAAACACUAUUUGUUCUAUGAAUAAUUGCAUCAGGUGUACUUAGUUAAUGCAAUGGGUUGAUCAGUUGGAUUUCAAUUACUCUUUGGCAUAGUCUUGACAUGGGAAAGGGGAAAGAGAUGAUGUGAUACUAUUAUAGCACUUUACUGAUGACCUUUCACAAAAGAAGCUCCUAUGAAAUUUUACAUACACGCUAUAUAAAAGCUUGAAGUCCAACACAAACAGUGAAACAAUAAAAUAUAUUUGGAUAGGUCAGGAUAUGAAUGAAGGAUUUGAAUUUAUGUUAAUCUUGGUAUUUAUGAUAUAAAUAGUUUAUUUUUAUUAAGAUAUGUACCAUAAAUAGCU